GGGGGCGUCACGGUUUCGACGGGAUCGUUUGCGGUAGAGAGGCAUGCCGGGGGGUGGGCACCCGUAAUCGCUUACAAAAACACAAUUGCUAACAAUCAACUAGCACUUGCUGCUUAAUUAAAUAAGUAGCCGUCCUCCCUAAAUUUGCCUGUGAGGUGGGGAAGGACGUCGCAAAGCAGGCUGGUCUGACCCGCAAUGCCUGGGUUGGUCGGACGAGAUCUACGGGCUGGUGGGAUGCGUAUCUUGUCCGUUCUGAGCGCAUCGCACGAGACCAAUCGGAACGCGACUACGCAUGGAGUCUCUUUGCUGACUUGGAUUUCGGACGCGGGUUCGACUCCCGCCGCCUCCACCA
rnacentral:tmRNA from 1 species